rnacentral:tRNA from 1 species
GCGGGAGUAGCUCAGCUGGAUAGAGCAGCGGUUUUCUAAACCGCAGGUCGUGGGUUCGAGUCCCACCUCCCGUGCCA